UACGGGGGGGGCAAGCGUUGUUCGGAAUUACUGGGCGUAAAGGGCUCGUAGGCGGCCAACUAAGUCAGACGUGAAAUCCCUCAGCUUAACUGGGGAACUGCGUCUGAUACUGGUUGGCUUGAGUGCAGGAGAGGAACGCGGAAUUCCAGGUGUAGCGGUGAAAUGCGUAGAUAUCUGGAGGAACACCGGUGGCGAAGGCGGCGACCUGGUCCGUGACUGACGCUGAGGCGCGAAGGUCAGGGGAGCAAACGGG
rnacentral:rRNA from 1 species